UUAGCUCAAAUUUGUAUGGAAUGGGAUCGUUGCGUACGUUUGUCGCUAGGGGCGCUGUUCCAACUGCACACAAAAUUGGGUUA
rfam:Bombyx mori DNA, contig: Bm_scaf35_contig21246, strain: p50T/Dazao, build 2, whole genome shotgun sequence.